ensembl:lncRNA MYCBP2-AS1 MYCBP2 antisense RNA 1
UGGCCAGAGGACUCAUUAGCUGAUUCCGCAGGACAACCAGGAUAAUAACUGAAAUGACUGACCUGACUCAUAGCUUCAAAGCCAGACUGUAUACUGAUGCUAAAACUCUCUUCACUAUCGCCAUCAUCUGACUUUGACAAAAUAUUGUUAAUGUGAUGAAAGACGUUGCUCUGAUGAAGGAACUGGUGAUCAGAUUGCUUGAAUUUGAGACUCCAGCACCUAAAAAGGCGAUAUAUAAGCAAUAUACGAAAUAAUUAUUUUCCAGGAACAUCUAAGGAACUCUUAGAUGAGUACUCUGUAGCUAAUAUCUCAAGAAAUUUUAAUGUUCUAGUAACAGACAUUUUAAAAAUUCAGGGAAGAAAAUCAUUCCUAUUGUUUUUGUUUUUGAGAAAUAAAGGUAACUUCUUUGGAA